UUCCUGCAGGAGGUGAAGCGCAAUGAAGAAUGUCUUCCAUGGUUCUUCAGAUAAGUCUUGUUCAGCAUAUCAAUUAAGCAGUCUCGGCAAAGAAAAUAACAUUGCGCAGAAAAUUAUUGCAGUUUACUUGAUAUCCAGAGGGAUUCCCCAAGGCAUCUUUUGGGCACCCCCCAAAUCCGAUGCUGGGAAGCCCGGAAGUUCUGGGCCAGCGUGUUGUGAAGCUGGUCCAUCACACCAACUUCCAUAUUGAAUUGCAGUGCUUUAUGCUGUGCGUAAGCAACCCCCUUCAUUGGCAAGUAAAAUUCCUCCCAUUGUCUGGAUUAAAAGAUUUAGAAGAGUAAAUUCACCCCUUUAAUUCUGAGUAACACUAGUGCUAAUUAUAUAGUUGCCAUAGUCCCAGUUUACAGAGAUGACCAAUAAACAACUAUUGUUUAUGUGUAACUACAGAGAUGCACAUUGAAAGGUCAAAAUGAACAGAGUAUCCUGUAGGCUUCAGAGCAUGUUAUCCAGUGAACCUGAACAGAAACACUUGGCUUGCCCACCACAAACAACAAAAAGAUGUGAAAUUUAUAUGUCAAGGAGAAUGGAGCUUUCAGAUCUGCUGCAGAUUUAGCUGAAAGCAUGUAUGUUGGAGCUCAACAGAUCUGAGCACCUGCUAAACUUUUCCAAUAAGUAAGUCAAAGGAUGGGCUGCCAUAGCAGUAAGGGCACUAUUGUGGUGGAUGGAUCUCACAAAGAUCAAGAUCAUCCUCAACAAGAAACGACAGACCAGGGUUCCAAAACUGAAAACCCUAUCAUGGAAAACCUACCAAAUGUGGAGAAUGAAGACCCUAAAGAUUGAAUAAGGCUUCAUGGAUGAAAUGCAGUGAAGGAAUCAAGCCUGAAAUGUUUUCCUGGAAGUUAAAACAAAUCAGUUGUCUUCAUUGUCAAGAUGUCCAGUUGCAGUAAUACAAAGGAUUCAUAUUUUCAAAAUAUUUUCAACAGAAAUCAUUGCAACGUUCAAAUAGUUUGAUUGACAUGAAACUAGUAGAAUUAUGUUUGAAACUGAAUCAUAUUGCAUUGAUCAAUUGUAAAGCAUUGAAAUCGAAAUCCUGUUUAAGGGCUGUUUUAGCAGGUUUCAUUUUGAACAGUAUCAAAGGCAUUAAAUUAAAAAGGAUUCUGCAGUUCAUCAUUGUAAACUGUCUUGCAAUAAUUAUUUUGUAUCACACCCGUAACUGCCACUAAAUAUAAUGCUCUGUUCAUUAGUGGUGUACAAUGACCCAAAAGACAACUUUUUAUAAAUCAUCUAUGCAUGUGCACAUGAAUUUUCUGAUGGUGUACUUCAUUGCAUUUCACUGGCAGAGAGGAUCUGACAAAUUAAAUGUUAGAUCAACAACUGUGAUAUUACAGUUUUGCAAUAGUAUUUAGGUAUCAGAACAUUACUCUUUAAGAAUUAGAAGCAAUCUUUAAUUUGCAUAAGGUGGCUGAAACAAAUACGCGAUAGUGGAGAGCACCCUGUGAUUAUGAUUAGAGUAAUAUUUCAUAUUAUUAGUAAUAACUGUUGAAUGUAAUAAUAAACAUGAAAAAUUACAGUUAGCAUACACUGAUGGGUUGGAUUUCUGCAUGAGUUAUUCAGGUCAUCAUCAUCUGUAACUUUACCAUUUCCAUAACAGUUUCCAUGGAUCAUGCCAACAUCAUGGUAGAUGAUCAGGGGAACUUGAGCGAUGGUGUUAUGGAGAGGUGCAGAAGUCGAGGGCUGAGGGUUGGCCUUGGGAAUCAAAUGGGCCAGUUUUACUAACGUGAGAUGGAACAAUCAGCUGUAGGAUUUCACUGGGGCAUCAAGGCCUAGAAAGUCAUAUACACGCCACAACCGAGAGAAGGCAUUUCAACUUCCCUACUGUGAAAUCCAGCUUUUUGCACGGAUGCUACGCAAUGGAUUUGGCAGCUCUUCUAUAACGUACAUGAGUGCAUCUCUCUCUGCCAGGCAUGGGAUCAGUGGGGGACGUUCAUUAAGUCCAGGUCAAUAAUACAAGAUGGAAUCUCAGAUUGCAGCCUCUCACAUUGAAAAAAAAUAAUUUCUCAGGAAUCCAAUAGUCACAGGUAGUAACAAUAGUCACAUAUGUUGCAAAAAUAUGUAUUUACCUUACAUGGAAUACAGCAAAUAAAGAACUGAAACUGUA